rnacentral:tRNA from 1 species
GCGCCCGUAGCUCAGAUGGACAGAGCAGCGGUUUCCUAAACCGCGGGUCGGCGGUUCGAGUCCGUCCGGGCGCACCA